GAAUGUAUGGCUUAGUGGUCACAGCUCUCGGACGGUUUCCAAGAGGCGCGGUCAAAUCCCGUUAUGUUUU
rnacentral:tRNA from 1 species